rnacentral:rRNA from 1 species
UACGUAGGGGGCAAGCGUUGUCCGGAAUCAUUGGGCGUAAAGAGCGUGUAGGCGGCUCGGUAAGUCCGCUCUGAAAGCCCGGGGCUCAACCCCGGGAGGCGGGCGGAUACUGUCGGGCUAGAGUCCGGAAGAGGCGAGUGGAAUUCCUGGUGUAGCGGUGAAAUGCGCAGAUAUCAGGAGGAACACCAAUGGCGAAGGCAGCGCGCUGGGCCGGUACUGACGCUGAGGCGCGAAAGCGUGGGGAGCAAACAGG